AUUGAACGCUGGCGGUAUGCUUAACACAUGCAAGUCGAACGGUAACAGGCCUUCGGGCGCUGACGAGUGGCGGACGGGUGAGUAACGCGUAGGAAUCUGCCUCAUAGUGGGGGACAACGUGGGGAAACUCACGCUAAUACCGCAUACGCCCUACGGGGAAAGCGGGGACCUUCGGCCUCGCGCUAUGAGAUGAGCCUGCGUUAGAUUAGCUAGUUGGUAGGGUAAAGGCCUACCAAGGCGACGAUCAGUAGCGGGUCUGAGAGGAUGAUCCGCCACACUGGAACUGAGACACGGUCCAGACUCCUACGGGAGGCAG
rnacentral:rRNA from 1 species